UACGUAGGGUGCGAGCGUUGUCCGGAAUUAUUGGGCGUAAAGAGCUCGUAGGCGGUGUGUCGCGUCGGCCGUGAAAACCUGGGGCUUAACUCUGGGCGUGCGGUCGAUACGGGCAUCACUGGAGUUCGGCAGGGGAGACUGGAAUUCCUGGUGUAGCGGUGAAAUGCGCAGAGUAUCAGGAGGAACACCGGUGGCGAAGGCGGGUCUCUGGGCCGAUACUGACGCUGAGGAGCGAAAGCAUGGGUAGCGAACAGG
rnacentral:rRNA from 1 species